rnacentral:rRNA from 1 species
UACGAAGGGGGCGAGCGUUGUUCGGAAUUACUGGGCGUAAAGGGCGCGUAGGCGGCCGAUCAAGUCAGAUGUGAAAGUCCUGGGCUUAACCUGGGGACUGCAUUUGAUACUGAUUGGCUUGAAUGCAGGAGAGGAUAGCGGAAUUCCCAGUGUAGAGGUGAAAUUCGUAGAUAUUGGGAAGAACACCGGUGGCGAAGGCGGCGAUCUGGACGAUGACUGACGCUGGAGACGCGAAAGCGUGGGGAGCAAACAGG